CGAGUCGGCUGGGCGGUCGCGGUCAUGAGACGUGAUCGAGGAACGUCCGGGCUCCAUAGGGCAGGGUGGUUGCUAACGGCAACCCGGGGUGACCCGCGGGACAGUGCCACAGAAAACAGACCGCCGGACGCCCAGGUUCGCCUGGACGCCCAGGUAAGGGUGAAACGGUGGUGUAAGAGACCACCAGCGUUCCGGGUGACCGGAACGGCUCGGUAAACCCCACCCGGUGCAAGGUCGAAAGGGUCGGACGCUUCGGCGGCUCGGCCUGUGCAGGCGUUCGAGGGCUGCCCGCCCGAGCCUGCGGGUGGACCGCACGAGCCUGCCGGUGACGGCAGGCCCAGAUGGAUGAUCGCCCAUCGGGAUCGCCGCAAGGCACCCGGGGACAGAACCCGGCGUACAGGUCGACUCGUCCG
rnacentral:RNase_P_RNA from 1 species